rnacentral:ncRNA from 1 species
UUGCGAAGCGCGUGUUUCAGCACCACGUUCCGAAAGCUGACGCCCUUCAGUCGCGCCGUCCGGAUGUAUUGCUGUUGCAUCACCUCGGCCAUGCUGGCCCGCGUCAUGCGGGCGAUAUAACCCAUCCCGAAAAGCGCGAUGGUCAACACCGGCAGAAAGAAAUUUUCGAAAGUGGCGUUC